rnacentral:rRNA from 1 species
UACGUAGGGGGCAAGCGUUGUCCGGAUUCAUUGGGCGUAAAGCGCGGGCAGGCGGCCCGCUCAGUCGGCCGUGAAAGCGCCGGGCUCAACUCGGAACUGCCUUCGAUACUGCGGGUCUCGAGUCCGGGAGAGGUGAGUGGAAUUCCUAGUGUAGAGGUGAAAUUCGUAGAUAUUAGGAAGAACACCAGUGGGGAAGGCGGCUCACUGGCCCGGUACUGACGCUGAGGCGCGAAAGCGUGGGGAGCAAACAGG